rnacentral:rRNA from 1 species
UACGUAGGUGGCAAGCGUUGUCCGGAUUUAUUGGGUUUAAAGGGUGCGUAGGUGGUCUAUUAAGUCAGUGCUGAAAUAUCCCGGCUUAACCGGGAGGGUGGCAUUGAUACUGAUGGACUUGAGUGAAGUCGAGGUAGGCGGAAUUGACGGUGUAGCGGUGAAAUGCUUAGAUAUCGUCAAGAACACCGAUAGUGAAGACAGCUUACUAGACUUCAACUGACGCUGAGGCACGAAAGUGUGGGGAUCAAACAGG